ACUGUGAUUCUUUUGCUCCUAUUAUUCUCUGCACACUAUCUCUUUAAAAAUUCUGCGUCACCAAAGCUUUUUACGAUUUCUCUUACGGACCUUGUAGCCUCUGAGAAAAGGAGAAGCUGCUAUUGAUGGCCUUCUAUUACUUGGUCCGGUUAAUCGGGCGCCGGUAAGGAAAAAGUAAUUAACCGGCAACCCCUCGUCCCCGAAGGAUAUUUAUGAACGGGAGCUUUUGGAUGAAGGCUUUUAGAUAAAGCAUGAAGAGGUGCUUCUAACUGGGAAACAAUCUCCGAGGCGGAAUAAGAAAUAGACAUCAAAGCAUCCACAGCUGCUGGGUUGGGAUUUGGGACUGAAACUCGACCUCCUAGGAGAUCCUUGGUUUUGUAUUUCCUUCAAAAUAUAAAAUUGGAAGGUUGCGAAUGUGAGCAAUAUAGAAUCAGCCUGGAGUGAUUUGGACUGGACUUCUGCUUCUAAAAAAAUUUGAAUUGGUAUGGAGGAUUUAUAUUGCUUGGUGUUAUGAGAUAUGGAAAUUUAGGGUUAUAAAGGGACAUGGACAGUGAAAUAAGGAACCUGGCAUCUCUUAUUUUGCAGACAGUUUGAUUCAAAAUGUAUGGGCCUCCAAGGAAUGCUCCUCAGUUUAGACAACGGCCUCCUGGACAUCAUCUUCCAGGGCCGCCAGGUCCGCCUCCAGGGAUGAUGAACAUGAAUAGGCAAUUUGGUCCUGUGAUGCAAGGAAUGGGUCCUCCUAUGCAUCAUCCUCCAUUUGCGGGUGGACAGCAGCAACAACAUCAGCAACCUGGAUUUGGGCCUCCACCAAAUAUGAAUCAUGCCAUGCCACCUGGUAUGCCUCUUGCACAUAUGCCCUCUGGGAUGCCACCAGGUUCAAUGCCCCCUGGACCAGCUGCAAGAACACUUGCCCCUCUUCCAUAUCAAGCACCACCUAUGUCCUUUGUGACACCCCCAGGACCCUUACCUAGAGGGCCGCCUCCACUUCCGGGAGGCACUUCUGUACUUCCUCCUCCAAUUCCACCACCGUCAUUUACUGUUUUCCCUCCAGGAGGUGCUGCCCCUCCACCACCCAUGCCACCUCCAUCUCCACCACCUCCACCUUCAUCUCCACCUCCUCCGCCACCACCUCCACCGCCUGCAUCACCACUUUAUGGUUCACUAAAUGAAGCACUGGCAGAGGCACCAGCAGAGGCACCAGCAGAGGCACAAGCAGAGGCACAAGCAGAAAAGACUUCUGAUAUGUCUCAGGCAAAUCCUCAGUUUCAGUCAACUUCACUGCCUCCACCUCCACCACCUCCACCAAAACCCAUGGAUGAAGAAGUUGUUAACCAUAUUGAAACUCUAUGUCAGUUUGUAAUUAGAAACGGACCAGAGUUUGAGAGCAUGGCUCGGGCCAGGGAAGCCGGUAAUCCCAAGUUUGCCUUUUUGUUUGGUGGGGAGCCUGGUAGUGAUGCUUCCAUUGGGUUUGCGUAUUUUCAGUGGAUGAAGAUGAAGUGCACUGCAGAAUUGAAAAUGCAGCAGGAAACAGAAGCAAAGCAGCGUGAAGAGGAAUUGCCUCUGUCUGGUACUACCAAUCACAAUGAAUUGUUAGGAAUUACUUUGGAAGAUGUCUCGAAUUCUCCUGCAGUUACAGACACAGAAAUGGAAGAUGUGUGCCAGCAGUCUGAAUUUAAGAGGCCUUCUGUUGAAGACCUUAGUCCAGUACAAUCGUCACCAAAGGAGUUGCAUAACUCAUUCGAGGGUGCUUUUGCAGAACACACAGUACAAGUUCAAUCUUCACCAGAAGGGCUUCAACAGGCAUCUGAGAGCCCUUGUGUUGGGGAGCUGACUCCAUUUCAAGUUUCCCCAUCUAAUCUUCAGCAUGAUUCUGAUGUACCUUGUGCUCGAGAGGCAAGUCUUGUUCAGUCAUUCAGAAAUGAGAUGCAGCAUAUAUCUAAAGGAAUUCAUGGACAGGAUCCAUUUACUGUCCAAUCUUCACCAAAAGUGCUUCAGCAUGGAUCUGAGGGAUUUUGUGUAGAGGAUCUGAGUCCUGCCCCAUCACCAGCAAAAGAGGUUGAACAUGGAUCUGAGGGACUUAAUGUUGAUGAUCUGAGUCCUGUUCAAUCCUCACCAAAAGAGUUUCACAAGGCUUCUAAGGGACUUCAUGUAGAGGAUCUGAGUCCUGUUCAAUCUUCACCUAAAGAACUUCAGGAUGCAUCUGAUGUGGCCUAUGGAGAUUUGAGUCCAGUCCAAUCCUCUUUGAAAAGGCUUCAGGAAAUGUAUAUAGAAGAUCUGAGUCCAGUUCGAUAUUCUCCAAAAGAGCCUGAAUCUGUUUCUGAAGGACCUAGUGUAGGAGACCCGAGCCUAAUCAGAUCCUCACCAAAAAAUAUUUGUCAUACACCUACUGGACCUUCAGCAAUUGAUUUGAGUCGUGGUGAAUCUGUGGGUGAAGAACCUAAAGUACCUCACAAUAAUGAAGAAGUUAUUCAGAAGGAAGAAAACACAUGCACUGUCUUCAGUGAAGAACAUGCAACUGAAAUGAAUGUGGAGCCAGAAAGAGAUCUAUCAACAAACGAAUCUUUCGAUCCAAUCCCCACUGUUUGUGAAAGUUUAAAGCCAUUGUCGAGUGUUUCUCUCUGUGAGGUUGGUGCUGAUAAUACUAUUCAUGAUACAGAUGGAAUGGAAUUAGAAGCUGUUAAAUCUAGUUCUAAUAAUAUCAAUUUAAGUGAGGCUAACAAACCUCUAAAUGAUAUUGCUCCACCACCUGUUUUACGAGAUAGCAACAUUGAAGACAGGGUAAAUGCAGAGUCAAAUUUGGAAAAACCAGCAAUCCAAGAGAGCAAAAUGCUAAAUGUUGAUGAGUUUGGCAGACUAGUAAGGGAAGGUGCUAGUGAUAGUGAAUCAGAUGGUGUUUUAUAUAGUGGGAAAGGACUGAAAACAUCCCGAAGUCGGAGCAGAAGUCUGUCUCCUGUUGGCAGGCAUCGAAGGAGGAGGAGUCCCAGUCCACGCAGGAGAAAGGGCAGGAGGAGCAGAUCUCCAAGUUGGUCGCCAAGGAGAAAAAGGAGCAGGACACCUCCAGCUGAAUCUAGGCGUUCUGAUGAACAAGGGGAGGGAAGAAAGAGGAGGGGUAAUGUUGCAGAAUGCAUUUAUUUUAAUAGAGAUGGUAGGUGUUUUAGAGGGGCAUCUUGUAGAUUUAUCCAUCACGAGGCACCUUCUGAAAAUAUUAGCAAGUCGUCUGGUGGAGAAAGGAAUAGAAGAUACAGAGAGACUGGGCAAGACAUACAAAGCUCCCAAACUGCGACAGAAAUAUCUGUUACAACAGAGGAAGAUAAAGUAAAUUUUGCAUCUUCAGACAAACUUUCUAAUCAUCAAGCUGACCUUAUUCCAGAAGAAAAAUCAAGUGGAAAGGAAAAACAAUUAAAUGAGGCUUCAUUGAGUGAAAAGGGAUCGCCAGUAUGGACAGAAAAUCAUGAUGUAAAGCUACCAGCAAUGAAUGUGAGCGCUGAUUCUCAGAUCCCUGAAGAGAGUGUCCAUCCCAAUGCAAUUCCUGGAGAAAAUGAAGUUGUACAAGCUCUGCACCAAAAGGGAGGAGAUGCUCCUUCAGGGCUCUUGCCACUGGCAGAUUUCCAAUCCCAGCCUUCGAAAAUUGAAGAAAACCCACCUUUGCAAACAGAAGAAAUGCCUUCGCAUCCAUUGUCAACAGAAGGAUUCCCUGUUAUUUCUCUACCAAUGAAAAAUUUCACAAUGCCUCAAGAAAGUUUGGAUUUCAGAGCACAGCCUUUGCAUCAUGAAGAUGGUAGAUCACAGCCAGUGCCUAUUGAAGAUUUAAGAACACAGCCUUUGCAUCAUGAAGAUUUUAGAUCACAACCUGUGCCUUUUGAAGAUUUCAGAUCACAGGCACUGUCAAAAUCAGUGCCAAUGGAAAAUUUCCAAACUCAGCCACUGGCAAGGCCUUCAUUGACAGAAGACUUACGAUCUAUGCCACCACCAAUUCCGCACCCAGUAGGUGACUUUCAACCUCAGCAUUUCCAAAUGGAAGGAUUUCAACCUCGUCCCCUCCCAAAAGAAGACUUCCGUUCCCACCCCCCUGUAGGAGGAGGAUUUCAACCAAGGGCAUUUCCUGGGCAAGACUUUCCUCCUCGACCUUUGUCAAUGGAAGAUUUCAGAUCACGCCCCGUGCCAGUUGAAGACAUCAGGUCUCGGCCCUUGCAGUUGGAGAACUUCAGGACUCGUCCUUUUCUUGGGGAGGAAUUUAGGUCUCACCCCCUUCCAGGAGAGGACUUCAGGUCCCGUCCUCUGCUAGGGGAGGACUUUAGGCCUCGGGCAUUACCAGUGGAGGAAUUCAGGACUCGAACACUGCCAGGGGAGGACUUUCGGUCUCGGAUCAUGCCAGGGGAGGACUUCAGGUCCCGGACCUUCCAAGGGGAGGACUUCAGGUCACGUACCCUCCCAGGGGAGGACUUCCGGUCACGGCCUCAUUCGGUGGAUGGCUUGAAAUCUUGGCCCUUAUCAAAUGAAAACUUGCAAUCUCAUCCAUUUCCAACGGGAAGCUUUCAAUCUCAGACAUUAAUGAGAGAAGAUGCAAAUAGGGAAAAUAUUCAGAACCAUCUCUUGCCUAGACAAGAUUUUCGUUCUCCUCCUUUGGUUCGGGAAGAUUUACGUCUACAUACUACAAAUCAGGAUGGUAUACAUGGAGAAGCAGUUUAUAGGCGAGAUUUUGGUGGGCAGCCUUUGUUUAGAAAUGAUUCACGAGUUCCAUCUUUAUUCAGGGAAGAACAGCAUCGUCCACAUUUGUUAAGGGAUGAUCCACAUGCACAUGCAUUACCAAGAGGUCACUCACAAGUUCCAGUAAAUGGUUUUUCUUCUGACACUUUGCUUAAAGAUGGUUUACACUUUCAUCAUUUGCCCAGAGAAGAUCUUCGUAUCCGAGGAGAUGAUUUACAAUCUAGAGAUAAUUUGUUAUCUAAUCCUUACACUAGAGAUGAAUUACGCUUCCCGCCUGUUCAUAGAGAUUUUCCUAGUAAUCAGCAACAUGAUCUUCUAAGACAACAGUUACCAUCUAUGCACUCAGUUAUGCCAGGAAGUUCUUCUCUGCUGCAGCGAAAUACUUUGCAAGAGAAUUCACCUCUAUCAUCAAAUCUCCAUUUGGUGAGCAAUUUUGAUAAUCAACGCCCAGGAUAUCUUGGGGGAUAUCCACCAUCAAACAACUAUAGUUCAUUUACCUUAAACCGUAACUCAGAUUCUCAGACUGGGUUCAUGUCUAAUCCAAUAAUGCGAGAGCCAGAUAUGAAUACAAGUACAUUUACUGCAGGAACAACAGGUUUUACACAUCAUGCAUCAAUUCAUUCGGAGAACACCUUGGAGCCAUUCAAUUUACCACAUUUAUCAGGCAGUGGCCAAGGAAGUUAUAUCAUGAGGCCAUCUACUUUGCCAUCUCUUUCUCCACGCAGUAUUCCUAGGCCUGGACUAGAGCCACUACCUAGAUCUAUUGGUGCACCUGUGAUGGGUGGAGAAUGGCACUCUUAUCCAUAUUCUCAUCUGGGGGCAUCUUCUCUACCAGGUUCACUGACACUUCAGCAGCCUGAUAGAGAUUUUUCUGCUCCUGGAGAUCAGUAUGAUCCUUUACAUGAUAGUAUUGAACCUGCUUCUCUUGGAGCUAAUGAAUCAUUGAAGAAAAUGUUCGAGUCUGAUAUAGAGAAGGAUACUGAUGCUAAAGCAGCAGAGCAGUCAAGAAUAGCACCUGCGUUGGACAAAGUUAGUUCCCGCAAUGCUGGGAAGACCAGAAUUGGUGGUGCAUCUCGUGUUCUCGAUGUGGAAGAAAACAACAAACAUAAAGAUGGUGCCACUUCUGCUUUUAAGGAGAUUGAAGUUGAUAAUGUCGCAGAGGCAGCAAUGGAUGCUGAGGUUGGUGCAGUAGAAAAUGGAAGCCCUCUUCUAGAGGAAGAAGUGAAGAAUUGGAGUCCAGGUCAUCCGGUAGAGCUAGCCACAGGAGGUGCUGGAGAGAUUGAAAUGGAUCAAGGUCAUGUAACUAGUAAGAGCAAAAAGAGUAAAGAUAGCCGAUCAAUGAAGCUUUUCAGGUCAGCACUUGCAGAAUUUGUGAAAGACAUGCUGAAACCUUCAUGGCGGGAAGGUAACAUGAGUAAAGAAGCAUUCAAGACUAUUGUUAAAAAGGCUGUUGAUAAGGUUGCAGGUGCCAUGCAGACCCAUCAAAUCCCUAAAACACGAGUAAAAAUUGAUCAGUAUGUUGCAUCAUCUGAGGGCAAGCUUUCUAAACUUGUUCAGGGAUAUAUGAAUAAGUAUGUCAGGGCUUAAAAUCAGGGAUGUAUAGGUCAUGACUAAUUUUAGCUCUGUUGAAGAUCACUCGAUUUGUCCAGAGUGAGAUGAGAUACCUUGGGCUUGUUCAGCCUCUUGAUUGUUGUUAGUAAAAUGGUGAUUUUGGAGGAUGCAAUCAUUGGCUACAUUUAUACACACCUCUAUAAAAUAUGAAGGAGACAUCAUAUAAAAACGAAUUGAAGCAUCAAAUCUUUCCUUUGAUCUAAAGUUUGCCCAUGCUUAUGCCAUGUAAAUUUCAGAAUCAAUUUUUAUGUAUUCAUCUACUAGGGGUGUAGGUAAGCUACCUUGAGACGUUUUUGUCAGAGCUGUUCAAUAUGAUGCUUAAAGAGAUAUCUGAUCAAGUCAGCUUUAAACUGCGCAAAGAGUCUGUCCUUGGAAUUUGCUUGUCGAGAAUAAAACCAUAGGCCAGGACAAUGGGAUUGGGAAUUCGAGUGAGGUUCAGAAACAGAUUCUUGCACAUCGUGGGUUUGGCCGGGGUAUGGCACUGCUGUCCCAGGUAUCCCAUGGGUAUGUCUGGCCAUGCCUUGGCUGUUUCAAGGCGAACCUGUCAACAGUGUCUUCCAGUCAGAAAUAAUGAAGAGUCUACAAAGAGCUGCUUCACAAUGUUUGGGACUUCAUGCAAAGGCAAGAAG